GCUAAUUGAAAAAUAGAUGUCGAGACUUCCUUUUUGAAGCUGCUAAGCAAGAACAGCCGUGACUUCCAGCAAAUAUUAAUCUGUCAGCAUUCAGUCUGUCAGUUAUUCUGUCUCAGAGAAAGCCACUAAUUGAGGUUAUCUCCAUGCUGAAACUUUUCAAAGGCGACUUAAGGGCCUUGGAUGCACAGUAUUAAGCCAUCAACUUCCAGGAGUGUAAGAGCACAGGUGACAAUGCAGAGCAGUUCUGGAUGGAAGUAUACAAUUUUCAAGGCAGUAGUGGUGAAGGGUGCUUUAAAGAAUUAGCCCUGUUUGCACUUUCCCUACUCGCCAUGCCUCUGAAUAAUGCUGAUGUGGAAUGAUGAUCAUCUGAGAGAACACAUGUGAAGUCCAAGCACCAGAACAGGAUGGGUCACUGGACUCUGAGCAGUAUAUUGCAUGUCCGCUAUGGGUUACAAAGACUGGGGAUUUGUUGUAAGGAUUUUGUCCCACACUGUGAUAUGCUUCAGUGGUUCAACACAGAAAUGUACCACAUUGAGGCAACCAAGACCAUGAAGGAGGGAAGAGAGUGAAGAUGACCAUUUUUUAAUCAUAACUUGAUGGUGGGGCAGCUGACCCUGUGCAGUCCUUGCUGAAGAUCCUCAGUCACUGAAUUCUGGGUCUCCAUGUGCUUUUCUAUGGGAGUUGAGGUCUUUUAGGCACUAGGAGAAGGACAAUGAAGUCACCCGAAGGUUACACUUAUACCUUGCAUUCAGUGUCAAUAGCUAUAGACAGGGACAAAUCUCUUUUUUCUAGGUCUUUUCUCCUGUAGGUGAUACGCAGCUGCUGGAUUUUCCGAGUGGAGGAUAUCUAGCAAACUUAGGUGCCAGAAACAGAGCUGUGUCUUAAAAAAAAAAAAAGAAAAAACCUUUUUUUUUUAAAAAGUCAUUUUAUAGCUUUAGAUUCUUUUAUUGGAGGAAGCAGGAGUUGAGCUGGUCUUUUUUUUUUUUUUUUUUUUUUUUUUAUUAUUAUUAUUAAGGUAGGCUUUUUCUUCCAAAGCUGUAGAUAAUUGUCUGGAGGAGAGGAGUCUGUGGGAGUUAAAGUACAAAGAAAGCAAAUAUAGCAGGUAAUGAGGAGUGAGUA